rnacentral:tRNA from 1 species
UGUCCCAUGGUGUAAUGGUAACACAGCGGUUUUUGGUACCGUCGUUCUAGGUUCGAGUCCUAGUGGGACAAC